UUUUAUAACUUGGAUUAUGAAACUAAACUUUAACCCAAAAUUAACCCUGCCUCUCUCCCCACCCCACCCCGUUCUCCUUGACUUCAUGGCAAGUUUAAAGGGCAGCAUGGGGUUCUUUAUGAGUCUGAGAGCCGUCUCCCACGGUCUGUGCCCCCUUCUGCCACCCUACCCUCUCAUGGACUCCCAGAGCCAGGUGGGAGUCCCACCCAUCCCUCUAACUCCUAACCCCCAAGGUCAUCUCCAGUCACACAUUUUUUUUUUUUUUUCGGGAUCAAUGGUGUUUGAUUUGUAGCCAUUUCCAUCAGGAGCAAAGUCUCUCCCAGCCCAUUCUAGGUCAGCCAUGCUCAUCGCUGCACUGUUAGUGAACUGUAUUCAGGAGUGUGCUCCCAGACCACCUGCCCACACCAGCCUGGGUUAGCGCAAGGAGUAAAUCCUCAACUCCGAGGUGCCCGCCCCGCCCCACAGGGUGCAGGGUCAGCCUGGAAGCUACAGGGCAACCCUGCAGUGCUGCCGGGCAGGGUGUGUCAGGGGCUUGGGAUGUGCCCCAGGGCAAUGACUAGACUGUAUCCACCAUAGUGAGAGCGCUGCCUAGGCAGGAAGACACUUGCCUGUGUGUAGCCAGGCUACCCUAGUUCCUCAGCCCCACUUUGGACCUGGAACAGGGUUACAGGUUUGGGAAAGGAAGCGUUCUGCCUUUCUUUCUUUUAACGCAUUCUGCCAGUAAGGGGACUGUCACCUCACUCCUUCUAGAAAAUGAUCGGGAAGCCAAGCCUGAUGGGAUGGCCAAUUAUUUACCUGUGGGUGGCCUCUCCGUGGCAAAAGCUCUUUGCUCUGAAUUUCGAAGACCACAAAGACUCACUUGGGUGUGUGCAUCAGUCUAGGCCACAGAGGGCUCACUGGGUGUUGAUGGCCUAGUUUCACCUUCCCCAGCUCCUGAAGCCCUUACUCACCCCAGCUCCUCCCCAGGAUGCUCCUGCAGCCUCAACUACUGCAGGUCAGCAUGAACUCAACUGCAUUCCCUUAUAGGGAGACACAGGGAGACAUUCAGGGAGAGUCUGUUGAGUACCUACCUUGAACCUGGUACCAUGCUAAACCUGGCAGGCAACUCCAAACAGUAGAAAACGUGGCCUCUGCUCCCCAGGGGCUCUCAGGCUUCAUUUAGGGAUCAGACAUCAUCCUAUGGACGGCCCUUUUUUUGUCUUUGAUUUUUGUCUAGCUCCAACGUUUGGGUUUUUUUUUUUUUUUUUCCUUCCAUUAUGACUUAUAGGGGAAGCUUCCUGAAGUGAGAAGCACUUGCUGAGGGCCGUGGGGUGGGAGGCAGCUUCGUUUUUGCUCAGGGUGGCAACUUGGAUCCAUCAGGGCUAUGGUGUCAGGGUAGGAGGUCUGGGGGGGCCUUGAGGUCUGUGCCCACCUCAGCCAACUCCUCUGGGCCAGCCUGCCCACCUGUUCCUAAUUCCCCUAGGACCUGAGGUGAGCAGGGCUCAGGGGACCCCACCAGGUGAGGUCCCUGCCGACUCCUAGAUAACUUCACUAUCAGUGGUCACUUUUCUUUUCCCUUCACCUGGUAGUUUGAAAUGUCAUCUUUUCUUGUGCUCAGUCGAGAGU
rnacentral:lncRNA from 1 species